AGUGAACGCUGGCGGUAGGCCUAACACAUGCAAGUCGAACGGCAGCACAGUAAGAGCUUGCUCUUACGGGUGGCGAGUGGCGGACGGGUGAGGAAUACAUCGGAAUCUACUUUUUCGUGGGGGAUAACGUAGGGAAACUUACGCUAAUACCGCAUACGACCUACGGGUGAAAGCAGGGGAUCUUCGGACCUUGCGCGAUUGAAUGAGCCGAUGUCGGAUUAGCUAGUUGGCGGGGUAAAGGCCCACCAAGGCGACGAUCCGUAGCUGGUCUGAGAGGAUGAUCAGCCACCCUGGAACUGAGACACGGUCCAGACUCCUACGGGAGGCAGCAGUGGGGAAUAUUGGACAAUGGGCGCAAGCCUGAUCCAGCCAUACCGCGUGUGUGAAGAAGGCCUUCGGGUUGUAAAGCCCUUUUGUUGGGAAAGAAAAGCAGCAGGUUAAUACCCCGCUGUUCUGACGGUACCCAAAGAAUAAGCACCGGCUAACUUCGUG
rnacentral:rRNA from 1 species